rnacentral:rRNA from 1 species
UACGGGGGGAGCAAGCGUUGUUCGGAUUUACUGGGCGUAAAGGGCUCGUAGGCGGCCAACUAAGUCACACGUGAAAUCCCCAGGCUUAACCUGGGAACUGCGUGUGAUACUGGAUGGCUUGAAUUCGGGAGAGGGAUGCAGAAUUCCAGGUGUAGCGGUGAAAUGCGUAGAGAUCCGGAGGAACACCAGAGGCGAAGGCGGCCUACUGGGCUGCACCUGACGCUGAGCCGCGAAAGCCAGGGGAGCGAACGGG